GUAGAUAUAGUUUAUGUAAAACACUAGAUUGUGAUUCUAGAGAGAAAGGUUAAAACCCUCUUAUCCACC
rnacentral:tRNA from 1 species